UUAAAUUGAAGAGUUUGAUCAUGGCUCAGAUUGAACGCUGGCGGCAGGCCUAACACAUGCAAGUCGAACGGUAACAGGAAACAGCUUGCUGUUUCGCUGACGAGUGGCGGACGGGUGAGUAAUGUCUGGGAAACUGCCUGAUGGAGGGGGAUAACUACUGGAAACGGUAGCUAAUACCGCAUAAUGUCGCAAGACCAAAGAGGGGGACCUUCGGGCCUCUUGCCAUCGGAUGUGCCCAGAUGGGAUUAGCUAGUAGGUGGGGUAACGGCUCACCUAGGCGACGAUCCCUAGCUGGUCUGAGAGGAUGACCAGCCACACUGGAACUGAGACACGGUCCAGACUCCUACGGGAGGCAGCAGUGGGGAAUAUUGCACAAUGGGCGCAAGCCUGAUGCAGCCAUGCCGCGUGUAUGAAGAAGGCCUUCGGGUUGUAAAGUACUUUCAGCGGGGAGGAAGGGAGUAAAGUUAAUACCUUUACUCAUUGACGUUACCCGCAGAAGAAGCACCGGCUAACUCCGUGCCAGCAGCCGCGGUAAUACGGAGGGUGCAAGCGUUAAUCGGAAUUACUGGGCGUAAAGCGCACGCAGGCGGUUUGUUAAGUCGGAUGUGAAAUCCCCGGGCUCAACCUGGGAACUGCAUCUGAUACUGGCAAGCUUGAGUCUCGUAGAGGGGGGUAGAAUUCCAGGUGUAGCGGUGAAAUGCGUAGAGAUCUGGAGGAAUACCGGUGGCGAAGGCGGCCCCCUGGACGAAGACUGACGCUCAGGUGCGAAAGCGUGGGGAGCAAACAGGAUUAGAUACCCUGGUAGUCCACGCCGUAAACGAUGUCGACUUGGAGGUUGUGCCCUUGAGGCGUGGCUUCCGGAGCUAACGCGUUAAGUCGACCGCCUGGGGAGUACGGCCGCAAGGUUAAAACUCAAAUGAAUUGACGGGGGCCCGCACAAGCGGUGGAGCAUGUGGUUUAAUUCGAUGCAACGCGAAGAACCUUACCUGGUCUUGACAUCCACAGAACUUUCCAGAGAUGGAUUGGUGCCUUCGGGAACUGUGAGACAGGUGCUGCAUGGCUGUCGUCAGCUCGUGUUGUGAAAUGUUGGGUUAAGUCCCGCAACGAGCGCAACCCUUAUCCUUUGUUGCCAGCGGUCCGGCCGGGAACUCAAAGGAGACUGCCAGUGAUAAACUGGAGGAAGGUGGGGAUGACGUCAAGUCAUCAUGGCCCUUACGACCAGGGCUACACACGUGCUACAAUGGCGCAUACAAAGAGAAGCGACCUCGCGAGAGCAAGCGGACCUCAUAAAGUGCGUCGUAGUCCGGAUUGGAGUCUGCAACUCGACUCCAUGAAGUCGGAAUCGCUAGUAAUCGUGGAUCAGAAUGCCACGGUGAAUACGUUCCCGGGCCUUGUACACACCGCCCGUCACACCAUGGGAGUGGGUUGCAAAAGAAGUAGGUAGCUUAACCUUCGGGAGGGCGCUUACCACUUUGUGAUUCAUGACUGGGGUGAAGUCGUAACAAGGUAACCGUAGGGGAACCUGCGGUUGGAUCACCUCCUUACCUUAAAGAAGC
rnacentral:rRNA from 1 species